rnacentral:piRNA from 1 species
UGGUUUUGAACGUAUCUCGUGCCCUAG